AGAGCGAACGCUGGCGGCAGGCCUAACACAUGCAAGUCGAGCGCCCGUAGCAAUACGGGAGCGGCAGACGGGAUAGUAACACGUGGGAACGCGCCCUUCGGUUCGGAAUAACUCAGGGAAACUUGAGCUAAUACCGGAUACGCCCUUACGGGGAAAGAUUUAUUGCCGAAGGAACGGCCCGCGUCCGAUUAGCUAGUUGGUGAGGUAAUGGCUCACCAAGGCGACGAUCGGUAGCUGGUCUGAGAGGAUGACCAGCAUCACUGGGACUGAGACACGGCCCAGACUCCUACGGGAGGCAGCAGUGGGGAAUAUUGGACAAUGGGCGCAAGCCUGAUCCAGCCAUGCCGCGUGGAUGAUGAAGGCCUUAGGGUUGUAAAGUCCUUUUAACGGGGAAGAUAAUGACGGUACCCGUAGAAUAGCCCGGCUAACUUCGUGCCAGCAGCCGC
rnacentral:rRNA from 1 species